ACUUGUGGGGUGUGAAGUACAAUAUACAUAAGAAUAACCCGUUUUGAGAAUUACAACCCGAUGUAACAAGUGAACCCAAAUUCAAAAUAUGCAAAUUACAGUGUUCUAAUUAGUGGUUUAUAGUACUCAUUUCUCAAUGGAGAACAGGAAGUUCAUAGUGAAUCAACUCCUCAAAGACAAGAAACUGUGGUUCGCUUCAUUCCUUGUUAUAUGGGCUGCUGGUCUUCAGGGACACAUGAUGUGGUUGCAGAGGCAAGAUUCUUUUAAAAAGAAGUUUGGAGAGCUAAAUGAUGAAGGCAAAAAUCAACAGGAAUUGGCGGAUAAUUAAUGAACCUGGUAAUUACUUCACCAACUCUCCAAGUAGCUUGCAAUUUGUAAAAGAAGAUAUAAGUGGAUACAACUAAAACAUCAGAAGCAGUGACGGAAACUAAUACAAAGGAAGCGUGAAGCUGGAAUAUAACAAGAAUGUCAUUGUUCACACAAAGGCAAAAACUAAUAACUUAGAGGCUAGAGCAGCAAAAGCAGUGGUAGCGACAACAGUACAGAGUUCUCAUUUCACUUUCAGCUUAGAAAGUUAAUCUUGAAUGAUAUUGUCUCUUCUCCAACAGUGAAAUUUAUGGGUAGUUGCACGGUCAAAACCUCAAACAGGAAAGCUGGAAACCCCACUAUGCCUUUUUGUUUCCCACCCUACAAAGCUAGGAGUUUCUGCUACAUGCUGAUAAAGAAGCCAAACAUGCCACUAUACUUAGGAAGAAAAAAAAAUCAAGUGCAGACGCGAGAUUACUCGAACACCUUAUUUUUUGAUGACAAGGGAACCCGCAGCCGCUGCCCUUCGGGUGCGCACAGGUAGUCCUAGAAGAACCGUCAAGAGCAAUACUGGAAAAGGUACCACAAAGAGAAGCUUCAGUUGCAUGCUCCUCGCGGUUGAUAGAUAAAUAGAAAAAUAGGAGAAACUUUUGGCAGGCACAUUUUUGUUCCUGAGCUCUCACUAAUUACAUCAAUGUACGUUUUGUCGGAUUGUCAAUCUUCGGUUCGCUUUUUUAUGAACUCACAUUCGAUUUUUCUUAUGGUAUCAAUUGCUUCGUCUAAGAUGCUAUGAAGUAGUCUACUUUGAUAUGUAAAUGAAUGACCAGAGUGUUCUGCUAAACCAUAAUUUGAUAUUGUUAUCUUA